UGGCUGAGUGGUAAAGCGUUGGCUUCUGAAGUGAGAAAACCCGGGUUUGAAUCCUGG
rnacentral:tRNA from 1 species